GGAUUUAUUUUUGUCAGAGCCGAUCGACAAAUGAUCAGCCUGAAAGUAUAAUUUUCUAGCUUAAUACAUGUCAUGCAAGUAUGGUUUCCUUAAUGUGACUGGUAAUGUAAAUUUUGUGGGUCUCUCAGUUCCUAUGAGCCUAAUAUAGUUAAUUCGAAAUCAUGAUUCUGAUGGAAAUGCAAAAGAAACAGAACCUGAAUUAGUAGUUAAUUGGAUAGCAUGAUUCCGAUGGAAAUGCAAAAGAAACAGAACCAACAAUAGUAGUCUACCUUAAAGCUCGAAGAAUUCAUGAGAAAUUCUUGCUAGCAUCUAGAAUUGGAUGCCCUC
rnacentral:lncRNA from 1 species